rnacentral:lncRNA from 1 species
GUGGAGUUGAUGGCGGGGGGAAAUCUUCGGCCGGCAUAGCAAACGGCCGAGCCAUUGCUUCCAUCUUCUCUAGUGUCAGAUAUGACCCUGCUUCUUGCAGUCUCUCUGGCCCCAUUAUCGGUAAUGUGUGCUCUUGAUGCAAUGAAGUAGCCUCACUAUCAUUCUUCUGCAUAUCAAAACAGGAUACACUUUAACUUGCUGAUUUGAAAUUGUUGACCUGCUAAAGUUCUCUAAUUCUGUGAUAUUAUCAUACUCCAUAUUAAGCAAUUUAACUACGGGUCCAGUUCCCGGUCAAUCGAUUGUUGCAGCAAACUAUUUGCGGUUUGUUAUAGCGGAAAGACAUUAACUCUGGGAGCAUGAGUGGCCCAUAAGCCCAUUCGCACUUUAGACACUCAUUCUAGGGUUUUUUUCUUUCCGCGGUGAAAAACAGCAGAUAGUUUGUUGCCACAAUCAAUUGCUAGGGACCGUCUCCCUUUAACUAGAUAUAAAAAAUAGAUCUAGCACUCAUGUCUAAUAUGAUGGGUGGCUUUAUUGCAGAGCCUUUACUUCAUUUAAUUAAUGUUAUUGGUAAACACUUAUAAUACGUCAACUCUAUGUCUACCACAACAAUCACAGCUAAAAAAGAACUGCAGAUUCCAAAAGGAACAAUUACUAAUAGUCAAGAAGAUAUAUGUGAUGAGUAAAAUCUCUCCUAACAAUUUUACCCAAGCAAUAGAUGAAUUUAAAGUGAAAAUAUUAUAAUAGAAUUUGAAGACUAUUACCAGCUGUCUUUAUAGGUCACUUCCCCCAUGUAACUUUAGUGCACUUAAAUAUAGAAACCAAAUUACGGUGACAAGGGGCAGUAACACUUGUAAUCAAGGUAACUGUAUCAUAUCUUAUCAAUGAGAUAAUUAUUACCUCCAAAGGUGAUAAAUCUGCACCACGGCUAAAAGUCAUUUCUAUACGGAAGCGCUUGGGAUCUUCUAAAGGCAACUGCAGAUAUACCAAAAAUACAUCUAAAUUGGUGAGCAGGUAUGCAUGUUUAUAUAUAUUUUUUAAUUAUAAAACCAUAACAAAAUAAUCUGUUUUUAGGUCACCAAUUAUAUUCCUUAGAAAACUGUUUAUUAAAGAGUACCUGUGCAGAAUAUAUAUAAUGUGAAGUUCUACAUGUACAAGAUAAAUCACAGGAAGGCAUGUCUUCAAACAAUGAUGGGACUAUAGGGGACAUGCAACUAUCUGAAGUCGGUAAGGUAAAUUUCUAGAAAAAUAUAUAGCAGAAAAGCAAAGUUUGGGGUCUGACCAAAUGAAUUUUGCGUAAUCACAGUAAGACCAAUAGUAAACUGAAAUUCGUUAGGACAAUAGUGGGAAUGAAUAGGUGAUUAACGGAUUAUAACCCAUUAGCAAACACAAUUUUGAAGUUAUAAUGAUACUACCUAACUAGAUACCUCUUGAACAGUAGAUAAAUCAUCUUGAGGUGUAUUUAGUAAACACUUAAUUUACAAAUCAAGGCCAGUACUGAAUCUGAUUGCUCAACUAUCAAGGUUCUAAAGCAUAUUAAAGUGAUGUAUAUAGUAUGCUUUGGUAAAACAAUAUUCAGAGAUCAGAAAUCUUACACAGAAAUGAGACAACAGAAAUUAAUGCAAAUGAUCAUUGCACCUAGAAUUAUGUAAAUAACAGAUACAAUCUAGUAGAGAACAAGAUAUUGGAUUGCAAAACCGUGCAUUUAGCUCUGAAAAAGUUAACCAAAAAGAAAGUUGCACGAUGUUCUGAGCAAAAUAUCUUCAGCAAUGAAUCCUUGUUUUAUUAGAAAAAGUGCCUAACUAGCAGGUUGAUUUAUAUGGGAAUGGUGACUGUAGCUUCUGAAAAGUGAAAUGACAACUACACAGGCAGAAAGCAAAUCUGCACAUGCCACAACAUGAUUAACAGUAUAUUGCCAAAGGAGGGCAAUAAAUUAUAUAUCAAAUCCCUGGGGAUUGUAGCAUAGUAGUCUCCCCUCUUUCUCCUAUUAACAGGAGGUGAGGAUUUAAGGCAUAUGUGAAAGGGAGGAUGUGAAGUGCUGAUUCACACUGAUACUAGAAACCCUAGAAACAUAUAACCAAGCUUCUAAUGCAAGCUAUAUCACAUAAAAUGGAAGAUGCACCUACCUCCGUGUUUUCAAACAUUCUCAAAACAAUAUAACUCAUGUAGUCAAGCUCCUUUGUUUUAAAUAGGCGUUCCAAAGCAUUGUCACAGAACAUGCUAUCCUCUCCUUGAAGUGAUUCAUCCAAGUUACAGUAGCGAAGAACAUUCAUCAAAGAGUGAAUAUGUGAUUCCUGUCAAAUGAAUCAUGCAAAAACUAUAUUAAUAUGGUGGAUCAACACAGUGAACAGUAAAAAAAAUGAUCUAUGCCAUUACAUUGCCUAGGCUUAAUGGACAGGGAGAAGAGGGACAAGGGAACAUCAAGCCAAACUUAGCUAGUCAUUAAUCAUCUAAAAAUCUAAACGAGUUGCAAAAUUUUGACGUACUAUAUACUUACAGAUGUGAAGUAAAGGCGCGUUCGAACAUGUCUAUCCGGUGUCCUCACAUUUGCAUAUCUAAGGGGAAAAUGUAGUACAGCGUCAUUAAUAUUAUAACGAAGAUAUGUAUUUCUGAUUUCAUGUCACUUAUAUAUCACAAACAAGUUAGGAACAAAUUUUUCAAUAAGGAAAAGGAUGUCGCAGUUACUUUGGAUCCAACCGGUAUUUGAUCUCUUUGUCAUCAUCCUCCUCCUGAUCCAUCGACAUGUCACUUGUGAAGCUGUUCCUCCUGGUGUCCUCCAUUCGAAUAUGAGAUAUUCGUUGAUGAUCCUGUUCUUCUUUUGUUGUCUUGUUGACUGUUGCCUCUUUCUCAGUCUUCACUGGUGGUGGUUCUGUAAAGGUGGUAUUAAUUGUUGAUUCUUGCUCCUGAUUACUCUUUAGUUCAGCAACACUGAUUGCUUCCUCACGAGUGUUCCUCAGAUCAAUCAAUAUUUUACCAAGCAAGCGUCGAGCAAUCUGAAAUGUAAAUAUAGAACGACACAAGUGACAGUUCCCUGUUAGAUAAUGGCAUUUGCAGAUAGUCUACACAGAUAGUCUACAGUACAGUGCUGUGAAAUAAGCUAAAAAAGAGUGUAACAUUGAAGUACGCUAAUGCUAUAAUCAGUUUGCGUUGACAUGUAGGUUCUUAAAUAAGAUCCUGAAACAAAAGAGCACAUUUAACUCAUAAACCCUAGGAGUAGUAACUUGUGUGGAAGUUGGUGCCUGCAUUUUGACACUGCUACUUCCUUCAGUUGUAUUAGAUCUUUUCCUGACAUUUUCCAAUAUUCUGAACACUGAAGAGAAAAUAACAAUAACAUGAAAGUAAAUAUGUCUCGUAAUGCGAUGUUUACCUUUGAGCCAAUCUUCAGUUUCUGCUUUGGAUUAAUACCAUACUCAUUGGGAAUAACACCGUCUGCAAGUAACUGAAAUUCAACAGCAAGUAUCGGGUCAGUUGGAAUGUAAUUACAAGACUAUUGCCCUCAGAUAGUCGUUAACAUAGGCGACUAAAUCUAUCUUACUCCAAAUCUAAUUAGGACGAACACCAAACUAUCAAUAAAGUGAACCAUAUUUUAAUAAGAUGCAGUUGCAAAUUGCAAUCACAUCAAAACAAAAUUUUCGAUUUGUUCAAUAAAAGAAAACACUGGGGUUGCACCAAAUAUACACGGCAAAGAUAUUGGCCCUGAAUUCUUUUAGAAUAAAGAGAAGUACAGGAAAAUAUAUGAAGGGAAGUGAAAUAACUUUGUCUGCUCCUGAGCAUUGACAAAAGAAAAUAGAAGUAACAUGAUUAAAUACAUAUAUAUAGGUGUGACAAAAAAAAAUACAAAUAUAUAGAUACGAGGAGAAUAUGGUUUUACUUGGAAUCAAGAAGUUUCUAAAACGCCUUUAUUCACUUUACUCCUAACCCCUGUUCAACCCACUGAGGAGUAAAAGCUUUGGAGUGAGAUGGAAGGUCUCUUUUUUUUUAGCUGAAAGAAAUUAAGGUAAUUUCACUUCUUUUAGUUUUGGUUUUUCCCGUAUCCGAAACUCCAUAGUUUAAGACUCUAAUCUACUUAAUAUACUUACAUCCCAUGUAUCUGAUAUCUGCGCAAUUUGAAAGUCAGAAGCAGGUCUAGUUAAUAAUUACAAGAAACACCAAAGAUAAUCUAACUAAAAGAACUACAUGCAAAUGAAGGAAUGCCAAACAUGAAACAAAUUACUCUCUUCCAGUAAUAUCUGAAACAAUUGAAGAUGCGAGGUCAGAAAUAAUAUUUAGUUUGUUACCUGAGCAACUUUGAAGAGUUCAUCCAACCCUUCUACAUUAAGAUGCGCAUUGUGCAAGAGAUCAUACCUGUUAAAAGGAAUGGACAAGUACACAAUCACAAUAUCAGAAAUUGAUUUGUCAUCUAACUAAAUUAAAGAUAUUACAAACAUAAUAUUGGAAAAAGAAAAUAAGAGAUCAUUUGUUAAUAAUUUGGCACUAUCAGUAACCUUUGGUGGUUUAUACAUAUUCCAUAUGAAUGCUUUUUUAUCCCCUUAAAUCUGAACAAUUGACCCUUUCAGAUCAAUGUGCUACAUAAAAUCUUAAAUCUGCAUAAUUUACCAUUUCCUGACACUUUCAUCCUCUAAUUCUAUGCCCUUAAACCUCUCAUACGAUAACAUUAUAUGAGUAUUAUAAGACAUUUGUUCACAAAGAUGAGAGAGAUCUUGAAAGGUUGGGAUCAAAUCUAGACCAGCAUACACACACAUCCUAAGGCAAAGCCGGCGCUGUUUCUUUUGACCUUGCAAGAAAAGGCAUACCAUCCAUAGCAAAACUAUAUGGCAGCGCCAAAGAAACUCUGUUUAACCUAAGAAUGAAAGCAGUGCAAGACAAGCACUUAAUAUGUGAUACACAUAUAUCACAUAAGAACUAUCAUUCUCUAAGCAUAACAUUCGUGCACACACAAGAUAACUAGUUUAAAAGUCUUAAAAUUGAUUUGCAAUUUAUAAUCAUUAAUACUUUCAGGCUUCAGCAGCAGAAAUUAGGAAAACCUGUAUCACAUUUUGGUAAUUGUUCCAUACACUUCACACCAGACAUAGAUGCUAAGGCAACAACUUACUUGCAUGAGUCAUAAACAUCUGGAAUUUGUGUAAUGUCAAAACGCCUGCAAUACAACCACAAAGGUGAAAAUUGUUAUAUAAAUGUAACCAAUUAAACAGUCAGGCACUUGCGAAAAUCUUGAAGUAAUGAAGACAGAUACUCACUCCUUUCGUUCAUUAUAUAGGUCUCUCUCAAGUUUUCUCCAUCGAGCAUACAUUAAAAGAAAUCCCUCGCUGCCACAGGGUAAUCCAGCAGCAAUACGAUCAACAUCUAUAUUUGUUUUACCUAAUGCCCUUGCUUGAUCGU